AUGGUUUUUAAGUUAGACUUCAGAAAAGCUUUCGACUCAGUGGCAUGGCCUGCCCUCGACAAAAUUCUGGCAGUUCGCGGGCUCUCACUAAUCUUCCGCAGUUGUAUCCAAAAUCUUCUCCACACAGGCAAAACGGCAGUACUUCUGAACGGGAUUCCGGGCAAAUGGAUUCAAUGCAAAAAUGGACUGAGACAAGGGGACCCAGCCUCUCCCUACCUCUUCCUUAUCGUAGCCGAUCUUCUUCAGCAGCUCAUCCUCCAGAACUCUGACCCGUCUCUCCACCACCCCAUCUUCUCCCACCUGCCUCCUGCCCUCCCACUGUCCUCCAAUACGCCGAUGACACGCUCAUUGUCGCCGCCGCCUCUCCCGCCGCCGCCUCAACCCUUAAAGUUAUCCUAA
rnacentral:rRNA from 1 species